AACCACCGCAGUUUCUCUUUCACCUUCUGUGCAGUUGACGAACCACCGAUCUGCACGCCGGCGACGAAGCAGCAGACGAACGAUUUGCAGGAAUAUUGGACGUCGAUCUGUGCAAGGCGACGACGUAGGGGAUUGACUUACAAGUGUGCAAGACGAAGUCUUUUCCGGCGGCGGUGACAUUCUUAGUCGUGGGUCUUUGGCGUUUCCGGCGGCGGCGACGAUCUGUGCAAGGUGACAAAGUUUUCGACGACGGCGAUAUUAUUGCUCAUCGGUCUGUAACAGGAGGUGGCGGCGGAGGCUGGUCGAUUUGUACAAGGAGAGGGCGGUGGAGGCUUGCACAUAUUUUUGAUUAAUUCUUCAAGUGAUUCGAAACAGUUUUUCUCAAAACACCUCCCACCACAAUGAUUGAUAAAGAAAGCCCUCAGCAGAUCUCCUUUCUCGAUUUGAAACUAGAUGGGAUCCCUUCUUCAAGUAUCGGAGAAGUACCAAUGCUUAUACUUAUUCAUUUUGGAUUUGUGUGGCGUAUCAGCAAAGAAAAUGUUGGAAGAGAACGAGAGUUUUGGGAAUGGUGGCCUUCAAGUUUGAGUCAAUUGUGGGACCAAGCUAAACUACAGAGCUUCAUGGAGAAGUUGGGAGAAAAGAGAGAGCAUUAUAAGCAGCAACUGUUGACUUGGGCUGAGUUAGAAAUACUCCUGAAAAAAUCUCUAUGUUGUAAAGAAGGUUAAACCUCUAUGUUCAUAAGCCUAUGAAUUUCUCUACUAUUUCUUGUCAUUCUGUUUGUCUUCAAAUUCCACACUUUUGAAAUAGUCUCUGUUCUUUACUCAUUUGGUUGAGAUGGGAUCAAUCUGUAUUCUAUCUUGAAGACCAUAAAUGUCUCUUUGCAUCAAGUCAUUAAUUUAUAACAAAACAGUCUAUGCAAGUUCUAAUAAAUGAGUCAAUGAAGUGUGUUGCGUUAUCAA